rnacentral:lncRNA from 1 species
AAAAAUAGAAGGCUGACUUCGAGUUUCUCCGCGUACUUGCAUAGUGAUAGGGGCUACACUGGUCAAUAGAUUAGUCUAUUAAUAUUAUGAACUGGAAAGCGUAAUACUUUCUGGGAGUACGUGUUUCUCACUUCGAAGUCAUGCUCUGGGUAUAUAUAAUUCAAACCCACAGCUUUCUAGACUUCAGCAAAUAAUUUCGUAAUAUAAGACACCUAAAAUACUCAUUUGCUGGACUCCUACUAGGAGUCUUAAGUUAUAUUCAGAAAGUCAAUAUUUACCUAACGCACUAAUGACUUUUCCCAUUCUCAGAUUCAACUCUGGGCUGCAGUGUGGUGCAAUCUUGAGCUUGAUAAAAAUCACUGCUGUCACUGGAAACAACGCAUUUCUAUAGAAUGCCGUCACCUCUUAAUCUGAUUUCACUAAUUGUUGGAAGUCACGGUAUUCUCACUGAGUCAUAAAGCGUGCAGACGUAACAAAAUAAAAUAAAAUUCUUCUGGGUAGGAUGUAGCUCAAUAGUACAGCACUUACCUACCAUGCACGGGGCCCUGGGUGCAACCUUAGCUCCACCAACCAAGCAAACAAAGUGUACUUUAACUCAGGGUCCUCCCGAAGGCUCACCUGUUCAAUCUACUUUGCAACCCCAGACAACUCGACGCACAAAACAGAAGCUACGGCCCUCUCCUACUGAGCAAAGUAACACUAAAAAGUUCCUGCAAGUCUCAAAGGAGGAGCAGAGUAAAGAACCCAGCACUUUCCUGGAAUUACUGCAGAAAACUUCUAGCCUAUCAUCUCUUUCCAGUGUGCUGGAUUUUUGUUUAACAUCAUCUGGACUGACUAAUAAGAGGAGAAAAAAUUAGGCUGCCUGCGUUUUACAUAUUUUCAUUCAAAAUUAAUGACUAAAUAAAAAUAGCUAUUAUAAAAUAAACUCCCCUCUUUUUUAUAAACAUGAUAAACAAAUGCAUGUAUAUGAGUAUGGAGUGCUUUGGAUAGACUUAUAAAGCAUUCUGUAUAUGAAAAGGCCCUGAGGAAAAACGGAGCUUGAUACUACUCCCGUGCCAGAGCUGGGCAUCCUCCUAAAUAGACACAAAGAAUAAAUUACUACCUGACUAUGUCAAGUCAGAAGGAAAAGCAGUGUUUAGCAUAGCAAUAGGAAAAGUGAGAAACACUGCAACAGGCAAGAUUUUAGAGAAAUAAGCAGGAAACAGGAAACUGCACAAGCUACAAGUUGAAAGUUUUUUUAGAACCUAUUUGAAACAAAUGCAGCCACACAAGGAUGGAUAGUUUCAGGUACAGAGCUGCCAGCAGCAUUUGAUUAACCUUAUUAGCCCAGAGCUAUUUGAAGAAGCUUCUGCCUCUCAGGCUUUUCUAAAAGAUACAAGAGAUUUACCUGAUCCUGAAGGUCCCUGGGGUGGGAAUUGUUGUUCUCAGGGAGACUCUAUUGACUGGUUUUUCAGUCUAAAUUACAAAUUACAGUCUAUCCUCAUUAUUUGUGGAUUCCAUCAUUUGCAAAUUCUCCUACCUGCUGAAAUGGUUUUGUAAUUCUCAGCAUAAUAUUUACUGUAGUUUGAUGGACUGAACUGCACUAUCUACUCUGCAGUUAGGCUGAACACAAGCUUCCUCUUUGUGGUCCAUAGAGUGUCACGAGUUUCAACAUUUUGCAUCUGGGUGUGCACAUGUGCCUAUGUGUGUGCAUGUGUAUGUGUGUGUUUUAGAGAUAUCACUGUUGAAAGUGGCCCACUAGCACAUUGCUGUCUUGUGUUCUGAAGCAAAAGAAAGC